rnacentral:tRNA from 1 species
GGGCCCGUAGCUCAGCUGGUUAGAGCGGCAGUCUUAUAUGGACGACCACAAUUGAGUGGUUGCUUUAAGCAAGCUGUAGGUCAAGGGUUCAAAUCCCUUCGGGCCCA